rnacentral:lncRNA from 1 species
GCAGACUGAUGACCCAGCAAGACAGCUCUGAGGUAUGACAGGCCAGAAUGAAGGGUGAGAAGCAAUCUACCCAAGUGGGGACAAAAUAAAAUAAGAGCCAGCUGAAAUGCUUCUUGCAAUUCAGGCUACAUCAAGGGCUGGAGGAAGGCCGGGCUGGACUUCGGGUGGGUGAGAGCGCACAGGGGGCGGCCCAGGAGCUGAGGGCAUCAGGCGGCCACGGCCAGUCCCAGUCCCGCCUGCAGCAGCCAGCAGCGUGGGGAGCGCCUCGUCCAGUCUCCCCGCAGCCGGGAAGCGGCUCUCUCUGGAAUCCUUGCAAACGGGCCAACCUGCCAGGGUCGGAUGUUCCUCCCUCCUCGGCCAUGGGCCCGGGCGUGUCCUCCGGGCUCUGUGUGCGAUAUCACGGCGCCUUCCCCAGGGCGCCCGGCGCAGUGACUGUGGCCCCCCCACUUCAUGCAGAAGGAAGCCAAAGCCAGAGAGGUCAGGGCCCGCCCACCCGCCCUGUGUUGGGGCUGCAGGGC